rnacentral:rRNA from 1 species
AUGAGUCCACGGCCUCCGCCCCCUCUACUCCCGCUCUUGCGGUGGGUGAAGGAGGAGAUCCUAUUUUCUCACCCAUGGUGUGGGGAACCUCUCGCUGAUUGUUGGAAUUCGAAUUCCUUCCAUUCGACCAAAGAAUUUUCUAUAAUAAUUCGCAAAUCCAAAUCUGCUAAUUGUUCUCUAAUAGCACCUGCUCCUGUCGUAAUUUCCCGAUUGUUUAGGUAG